rnacentral:rRNA from 1 species
GGGCCCGCACAAGCGGUGGAGCAUGUGGUUUAAUUCGAUGAUACGCGAGGAACCUUACCUAGGCUUAAAUGUAGAUUGACGUAUUGGGAAACCAGUAUUUCUUCGGACAAUCUACAAGGUGCUGCAUGGUUGUCGUCAGCUCGUGCCGUGAGGUGUCGGGUUAAGUCCCAUAACGAGCGCAACCCUAUCAUUAGUUGCUAACAUUUAGUUGAGGACUCUAAUGAAACUGCCCGCGUAAGCGGUGAGGAAGGUGGGGAUGACGUCAAAUCAUCACGGCCCUUACGUCUAGGGCUACACACGUGCUACAAUGGUAACUACAGAGGGAAGCUAUCUGGUGACAGUGAGCA